AUCGGCCGCUCGGACGCCGCCACCGUAGAGGCGCCGCCUGGAUGGGAACUCAUCAUGAUGAUGGUUUGGAUCGAUCCAUGUUGUUAUCUAUACAUGUUGUUCAUGCUGCUCGACGAUGCCCCGGCGGAAAGCGCCGAUCGGAUUUCCCUAGGCGACCUGACCUACAUAUGAAUACAACUUCCCUUUGUUAGACCCAUUUUUUUAAAGACCCAUUUUUAAAACCAAGCCAUGAAGGCCAACCUGUUCCUCUGAAUGUGGACAAGACUGCCAUUGCAGCAAGACACGUGGAUCUAGAGAUUGAAAUCAAAUUGUUGUAGAACAGCUAGAUCUAGUGGAGUAUGUAAUGGCCAUGUACUGUCCACCGUUGGCAGUAUGGUGGGAGCCUGCUGACCUUGGAGAACUUCUGGAUGAGGACGAAUAUACUUUGGCGUCCGCUCAA